AACGACCAUACCAUGCUGAAUAUACCGGUUCUCGUUAGAUCACCGAAGUCAAGCAUCAUUGAGCGCGGUUAGUACUUGGGUGGGUGACCACCUGGGAACACCGCGUGCCGUU
rnacentral:rRNA from 1 species